GAUGGUAUGUAAUCUGAUUUGUAAUCAGGGGGUCGCGGGUUCGAACCCUGCUGCCGGCA
rnacentral:tRNA from 1 species